rnacentral:rRNA from 1 species
GUCCACGCAGUAAACGAUGAUUACUAGGAGUUUGCGAUAUAGUGUAAGCUCUACAGCGAAAGCGUUAAGUAAUCCACCUGGGGAGUACGCCGGCAACGGUGAAACUCAAAGGAAUUGACGGGGGCCCGCACAAGCGGAGGAACAUGUGGUUUAAUUCGAUGAUACGCGAGGAACCUUACCCGGGUUUGAACGCAGUCUGACCGCCGAUGAAAGUCGGCUUCUAGCAAUAGCGGAUUGCGAGGUGCUGCAUGGUUGUCGU